rnacentral:rRNA from 1 species
GACGAACGCUGGCGGCGUGCCUAAUACAUGCAAGUAGGACGCAGUUGCGAACGGGUGAGUAACGCGUCGGUCACUACCUAUUAGAGGGGGAUAACUAUUGGAAACGAUAGCUAAUACCGCAUACUAGUAGAUGGAACUGCGUUGUAUUAGCUAGUAGGUAGGGUAAAGGCCUACCUAGGCAACGAUACAUAGCCGACCUGAGAGGGUGGACGGCCACACUGGGACUGGGACACGGUCCAGACUCCUACGGGAGGCAGCAGUAGGGAAUCAUCUGCAAUGGUGGGAACCCUGACCGAGCAAAGCACCGUGAGUGAAGAAGGUUUACGGAUCGUAAAGCGCUGUUAGUCAGGAAGCGGUACUUACCGAGAAAGGGACGGCUAACUACGUGCCAGCAGCCGCGGUAAUUC